UAGUGUAGAGGUGAAAUUCGUAGAUAUUAGAAAGAAUACCAAUUGCGAAGGCAGCUUUCUGGAUCAUUACUGACACUGAGGAACGAAAGCAUGGGUAGCGAAGAGGAUUAGAUACCCUCGUAGUCCAUGCCGUAAACGAUGUGUGUUAGACGUUGGAAAUUUAUUUUCAGUGUCGCAGUGAAAGCGAUAAACACACCGCCUGGGGAGUACGACCGCAAGGUUAAAACUCAAAUGAAUUGACGGGGACCCGCACAAGUAGUGGAGCAUGUGGUUUAAUUCGAAGAUACGCGCAGAACCUUACCAACACUUGACAUGUUCGUCGCGACUUUAAGAGAUUAAAGUUUUCGGUUCGGCCGGACGAAACACAGGUGCUGCAUGGCUGUCGUCAGCUCGUGUCGUGAGAUGUUGGGUUAAGUCCCGCAACGAGCGCAACCCUCACUUUUAGUUGCCAUCAUUUAGUUGGGCACUCUGAAAGAACUGCCAGUGAUAAGCUGGAGGAAGGUGGGGAUGACGUCAAGUCCUCAUGGCCCUUACGUGUUGGGCUACACACGUGCUACAAUGGUAUCUACAACAGGAAGCGAAACGGCGACGUUAAGCAAAUCCUUAAAAGAUACCUCAGUUCGGAUUGCACUCUGCAACUCGAGUGCAUGAAGCUGGAAUUACUAGUAAUCGUGGAUCAGCGUGCCACGGUGAAUGCGUUCCCGGGUCUUGUACACACCGCCCGUCACACCAUGGGAGUUGGUUCUACCUUAAGGCAAGGUUUUAAACCCUUGACUACGGUAUAGUCAGCGACUGGGGUGAAGUCGUAACAAGGUAGCCGUA
rnacentral:rRNA from 1 species